rnacentral:rRNA from 1 species
UAGGGAAUUUUCGUCAAUGGGGAGGGACCCUGAACGAGCAAUGCCGCGUGUGUGAAGAAGGUCUUCGGAUCGUAAAGCACUGUUGUAAGUGAAGAAUGCCAUAUAGAGGAAAUGCUAUGUGGGUGACGGUAGCUUACCAGAAAGCCACGGCUAACUACGUGCCAGCAGCCGCGGUAAUACGUAGGUGGCAAGCGUUAUCCGGAAUCAUUGGGCGUAAAGGGUGCGUAGGUGGCACGAUAAGUCUGAAGUAAAAGGCAACAGCUCAACUGUUGUAUGCUUUGGAAACUGUCGAGCUAGAGUGCAGAAGAGGGCGAUGGAAUUCCAUGUGUAGCGGUAAAAUGCGUAGAUAUAUGGAGGAACACCAGUGGCGAAGGCGGUCGCCUGGUCUGUAACUGACACUGAUGCACGAAAGCGUGGGGAGCAAAUAGAUUAGAUCC